rnacentral:rRNA from 1 species
GACGAACGCUGGCGGCGUGCCUAAUACAUGCAAGUAGAACGCUGAAGGAGGAGCUUGCUUCUCCGGAUGAGUUGCGAACGGGUGAGUAACGCGUAGGUAACCUGCCUGGUAGCGGGGGACAACUAUUGGAAACGAUAGCUAAUACCGCAUAAGAGUAGAUGUUGCAUGACAUUUGCUUAAAAGGUGCAAUUGCAUCACUACCAGAUGGACCUGCGUUGUAUUAGCUAGUUGGUGGGGUAACGGCUUACCAAGGCGACGAUACAUAGCCGACCUGAGAGGGUGAUCGGCCACACUGGGACUGAGACACGGCCCAGACUCCUACGGGAGGCAGCAGUAGGGAAUCUUCGGCAAUGGACGGAAGUCUGACCGAGCAACGCCGCGUGAGUGAAGAAGGUUUUCGGAUCGUAAAGCUCUGUUGUAAGAGAAGAACGAGUGUGAGAGUGGAAAGUUCACACUGUGACGGUAUCUUACCAGAAAGGGACGGCUAACUACGUG